AUGGACAAUUAUGCCUGGGAAAACACAUCAGCAGUCGGGUGCCAAGAAAAGAAAAAGCCCAAGAAUAAGCCCGUUCAUCACUUUCAGUUUCAGGAUGCACAGCCGAAGUGGCACGUUCAACUCAAAAAGAACCCAAUGAGCCAGUUCAACCAACUGUCGAAGUUUGCCGAGGAUUACAGAGGACUCAACAAGAUCGGAAUGAGCCGUGGCGAAGUUUGCCAAGGAUUACAGAAGAUUCUGAUGAGUGAGUUGACGAUACUGUGUCAACUCACUCAUAAGCCUGAGGCGUGUACUGGAAAUGUGCUUAUUAUGACUGUUAUUAAUUUACAUUUUAUUAAAACCUGCAAAAACCUUUUUGUCGAGUGAUGUAAAUAAAUUUUACAAUAGUUUAUUGUGCAUGCAUAUAUUUAAAGUUGCUUAAGCGAAAUCAAGGAGUUUACAAGGUUUAUUCAUUCUUUAUACUGUAGACAUGUAGAACAUAUCCGCGUUUAUGCAUCAAUGUCUUUAAGGUGUGCUGUAGGUGUAAAACUUUUAGGAAUCUUAUCCAAGUUGUAGGCUAGUCAAUAUUGGUCAGUCAGUUGUAUCUGACAUAAAGGAUCCACGAAUGAAACUGUGACCACAAAAACCAUUAACUUAAGUGAAUUAUAUGGCAUUAAUCAGCAAUAUGUGUUGACAAAUUACUUAUUUAAAUUUUUAUUGAUACAAAAUGGCACUGAGUUCUUAGAAAAGAAAUGCUUAGAGACGUUAUUGCUUGAUGACAUCAGGAACUGAUGAAUUGGCUUUUUGAACCAGUUCAAUGAGCCGAUCUGUUCGAAAAGAUCUGGUUCACGGAAAUCUAUCAUCACUAGUAAUUACACUUCAAUCAAAUCGCGAUAUGGACAAGUAUCUAUAACUAUUAAGCUGCAAAGUCAAUUUAAAUAUGAAUCCUGCAUGUUCGGCGUCUCUCUGUUAAUGACUGGAGCAGACGCGCUGUUUCAUUUACUACACACAUUCUGAAGCACGCAUUACACUUGCGGUAACUUCAGUGUCUGUCGUCUCACUAAAUGAGGAUGUAAACACAUGAACAACAUCUCCAGAACUGCUCUGAGAGUCACUUCAUGAGCAUUUGACCGUUUAAAUUGAAUAGAACUAGCGUCAUAUUACAUACAAAGAACUGUAAAGGUAUUCACGGCAACCCAUCAAAAUAAAUGUCUGGUUUGAUUUGAAGACAUUGUGCCUAUUACAAUUUUUCAGUAGAAUGUAUGUAGCCUACUAUUACUACUACUACUACUAAAAUGAAACAAACAUUAUUUUUUGAGGAAUGAUCACACAACAUUUUUUUUUAAUUUUAAUAUUAAAUCCACUUUGUUUGCAAAAAAUAAAGUUUGCUUUAUUUUCAAUAAUUAAAAGAUAAAUUAAAUUAAUGUUUUAUGCCUUCAUUUGAUAAACAGAAAAAUAUUAAUACAGUAAAAAAAAUUCACAAGGCUACUUUUGAUUAAUAAAAUUAAAUACAGUUAAAAUAAAAAGGAGUCUAGAAAAAUUAAAACGGAAAAAAACAGAAUCCAGAAAAAUUAAAUCUUAAAAACGGAAUUUGGAAAACAAUAAAAUUGAAUUUAGGAAAAAAUAAAAUGGAUUUCAUAGGGCCUUACUUAAUUUAUGAGCAUUUUUGGUUAAAAAUUAUAUAAAUUUAUAUUUUUCUUAGAAAAUGACAGAUCAUUUUGCUAGAUAAGGCCCAUAUUCCUCAGCUGGGAUCAUGUAGAGCUCUUUAAAGCUGCAUCGAAACUGCAAUUUGAACCUUUAACCCAUUGGCCUCCACUGAAGUCUACUAUAUGGAGGAAAAUCCUGGAAUGUUUUCCUCAAAAUUUCUCAUUAAUUUCUUUUAGACUGAAGAAAGAAAGACAUGAACAUCUCAGAUGACAUGGGGGUGAGAAAAUUAUUAGGAAAUUUUCAUUCUGGAAGUGACCUACUCCGUUAAGCUUAGUCAAACCAACCAACCAAGCAACAACACUCUAUUACAAUGUUAAAUAAAUAAAUAAAUUCCUUGUCUCCUCUAUACUUUAGAGAAUAUAUAAAAUGUUAUAUAGAAUAGGUAUAGAAUAUAUACAAUUAUUUUCAACUCAGUUGUUUUGCUGGAGCAUUCUAUUGGGUUGCAUGUGCACACACACACAUUACGAUAUUCUUUAAAAUCACUGUUGACUGCCUAAGCUAGUAUCCUAUUUUAGCUGUCACAAGGCAAAGGAAUGACCACAUGCUGCAUCCACAUGUUAGCAUGGGUUUCUAAGAAUAUGUCUCUACCUAGGAGGACUUUUACUCACCCUUGACUGAAUUUUUAUACUGAACAGAAACAUUGUGUGAGAACAGUGGAACUAAGCAGUUCCUCAGAUCCACACAAAACAGUCCAUUCAGAAACAAUUUACAAUGCUUAAGUGCAUGCAUUUUCUGAGUUAUGGAAUUGCUAUUAAUAACAUGCUCGAGUUUUAAAUAGAUACGAUAUAAAAGUAUACACAUCACAAACAGGUCAGGUGACAGAUAUGUGGUGAAACCAACAAUACCAAGCAUAUUUGGGGGAGCUGGAUGUGUGACUACAGCAGUUGCUCUCAACUCCCUUGGAUGUUUGUCUUUGAUAGCAAGAGCUAAUGUCAAUGCAGAACCACCAUCCAGACUGCUGCUAAACCAGCAGGAUCAAAUGUACUUCAAUAAUGCAUAGCUAGGCCUAACCGACAUCCCAUGACCAGCCACUACAGUAUACAGAAGACAGGGAGUUUCCUUUUCAGCUCAACUGGGGUCCUAAUCUGUUUGUCGCUAGUCUGAUCCUAGGCUUAGUGCUGUACUUUAAUGAAUUUAUCUGAUCUUUUGUCCUAUAAAAAUACUAGUGUGAAUUUAUAGUAUAAAGAAGAAGCGGUAUACAAAUAAACGUGAAAUGAAAAAAGAAAUAUCACAUUGGUCACUCUCAGCUUUCAUGAUUUACUUUCAUCUGUUGAACACAAAAGAUGAUGUUUCAGCUGUUUUAUCAGUCAGUGGAG
ensembl:lncRNA